rnacentral:rRNA from 1 species
CCUACGGGUGGCUGCAGUGAGGAAUAUUGGUCAAUGCGCGCGAGCCUGACCCAGCCAAGUAGCGUGAAGGAUGACUGCCCUACGGGUUGUAAACUUCUUUUAUAAAGGAAUAAAGUGAGGCACGUGUGCCUUUUUGUAUGUACUUUAUGAAUAAGGAUCGGCUAACUCCGUGCCAGCCGCCGCGGUACUACGGAGGAUCCGAGCGUUAUCCGGAUUUAUUGGGUUUAAAGGGAGCGUAGAUGGGUUGUUAAGUCAGUUGUGAAAGUUUGCGGCUCAACCGUAAAAUGGCAAUUGAUACUGGCAGUCUUGAGUACAGUUGAGGUAGGCGGAAUUCGUGGUGUAGCGGUGAAAUGCUUAGAUAUCACGAAGAACUCCGAUAGCGAAGGCAGCUUACUAAACUGCCACUGACACUGAUGCGCGAAAGUGUGGGUAGCAAACAGGAUUAGAUACCCCGGUAGUC